ensembl:snRNA U6 U6 spliceosomal RNA
GUGCUUGCUUUGAUAACACAUAUACUAAAAUUGAAAAUGAUGAAGAGAAAAUCAGCAUGGCACCUGAACAAGGAUAAUAUGCAAAUUUGUGAAGUAUUCCAUAUUUAA